UUAUAUAGUUGUUAAAAACAUGAUUCUGAGGGGAAUUUCCUUGUGUUUUUAUCUACACUUUGAAUUGGACCCAGUACACAAAGCUACUUUCUACAUAAAUAUGAGCUUCAGUUGUGUUGUUUAUAAGCUAAUGUUUGCAUGGAUAGUAAUUUGAUUAGUGAUUAUGAGUUGUCAAAGAUCUUGUGUGCAUUUCUUUGGUUUAUGGUUUUCAACUUAUUCAAUGAUGCAGGCUUCCAUUGAUUUCCAGCAGUUUUGUUCAUGGUUAUUGAACACCACGAUUUCUUUAAUAUGUGGUGUUUUUGUUAUUUUUAUUGAUUAUUGACACCAAAUUCUGAAAACUGUUUGUGUUUCUUCAUCAUGAUUAACUGCAAGACAGCUUCUUUGGAAAAAUAAAUUUAACCGUUCAAAUGACAUCUUUGCUUGUACAUUGCAAG
rnacentral:misc_RNA from 1 species